CCUACGGGAGGCAGCAGUGAGGAAUAUUGGUCAAUGGGCGAGAGCCUGGACCAGCCAAGUCGCGUGAAGGAUGACGGCCCUACGGGUUGUAAACUUCUUUUGUCAGGGAGCAAUUGGGUCCACGCGUGGGCUUAGCGAGAGUACCUGAAGAAAAAGCAUCGGCUAACUCCGCGCCAGCAGACGCGGUAAUACGGAGGAUGCGAGCGUUAUCCGGAUUUAUUGGGUUUAAAGGCUGCGUGGGCGGAAUAUCAGGUCAACGGUAAAAAUUCGGGGCGAAACCCCGUCGUGCCGUUGAAACUGAUGUUCUUGAGUGGGCGAGAAGUAUGCGGAAUGCGUGGUGUAGCGGUGAAAUGCAUAGAUAUCACGCAGAA
rnacentral:rRNA from 1 species